UACGGAGGGGGCUAGCGUUGUUCGGAAUUACUGGGCGUAAAGCGCACGUAGGCGGCUUUUCAAGUCAGAGGUGAAAGCCCGGGGCUCAACCCCGGAACUGCCUUUGAAACUAGGAAGCUAGAAUCAUGGAGAGGUCAGUGGAAUUCCGAGUGUAGAGGUGAAAUUCGUAGAUAUUCGGAAGAACACCAGUGGCGAAGGCGGCUGACUGGACAAGUAUUGACGCUGAGGUGCGAAAGCGUAGGGAGCAAACAGG
rnacentral:rRNA from 1 species